ensembl:lncRNA
CCCAUGCCCAAGAAUAGCAAGCGAGUAAAACCCCAACACACACACACACACACACACACACACACACACACACACACACACACAGUCAGCAGUGGAGCAGGGGGAGGGCGCGGCUAGCGGACCCAAGCCCUCUGGGCAGGCUGCAGCAGUCACAGCAUUCUAAAGGCAUUGGGGUCGAAUACACUUACGAUGAAUCUAGGGGAACGGUCGGCCUGAUUGCCUUUCAAAUACCUCGAGUGGCUUCGUUGACCGGCACCCUCCAAACUCACAAGGGCACGCACGCUACUUGCAAGCAUCCCAGAGGAGGGUGGGAGGGAGGGAGGAAAGGAGGGAGAAGGAGAGGGAGAGGGGUGGGGGGAGAGCGAGCAGCCGCAGCAAGCGGUCCGUCUCGCACGCGCGGGCCCCGCGCUGGUACAGGGCUGCAGGUUUCCCAGAUGAUGGCAUCCGAGAACUUAAACAAAGAGGGUCGCCACCGGCGCGCGGCGGCUGCACAAAGUUGCAGUGGCGGAUUUCCAAGAAGCUUGGCCACCGGAGCUCUGGGCGAAGCAAGCCUCCCUUUCCCACCUCCGGCAAGACGGAGACCCGGGCUCGCGCGGGGAGGAAAGAGGAAACUUUGAAACCAUUGGGGACACAUCUGUCUAUAGGUAUUAGCUUGAACCGUGCAUCCGUGGCGCGCGCGUUACAAAUCUCUGGCGUGGGGUGGGGGUGCAACACAACGCAAUCUAGGUAGAAUGGGUAGACUGCUAUUUUUCGUGAUUUCACCCCUCUUCGUUUUCCUUCUAACCCCCCUUCUCUCCCGCCCCCUUCUAUUCUCUUCCCUUUCUUCCCAACCUCCCAGACCAAUCGCGAAGGCAGGGAGCAGCGGAGGGACGGCAGACGUUUGGGCCGGACACUAAGAACAACUGCGGGGAAAAAAAUAAAACACCAACCCCAACCUUCAGCAACAAGGAAAGAUGUCGCACCAGACCGUGACUGUUGCGAGGAAAAUGAAAAGGGACUCUUGUUUCAGAGACAUCCAAGAGCUCCGGCAAUAGCAACUUCAGAGAAAUGCACCAUCGCAAGAAGUUUUCCUAGGACAGAACAAAACUUGAAAGGAGAGGACCAGAGUGGGAGAACAGGAGCCAGCCUCCCCACUCCACAGACGCCAGACGCCAGUAUCACCACGCCUGUAAGGACCAGAAAAGUUUUACUAUGCUAAGGAGAAACAGUGAAAUGUGUUGCUGAAAAGCAGAGAAGCCAGCGGACCAGCAAGGAGCGGCCCGAUUGCUGGCCACCCACGAUUUGGCCAAGGAAGAAAGGAACCGCUUCGUCCUUUGUUGUCUCCCGUGAAACCUUUGCUUAGCAGGUGGACAGAGCCCCGCGCCGGGGCAGAGUCCGCACCCGCCAGAGGACGAGGACAAGAGGAACAACCGGAGCCCCUGCGCCCGGAGAGAGCGCCCGAAGUACGGGUCCCCGCCCCACUGGGCGAGCCUUGCUGGAGCGAGCCGAUUGCUCCCGGCCAGGGGGGAGACCACGACCCCCCCUGAAAGGGCUGGCCACGGAGCUCACCCCGAGAAGCGAUCCCCUCUCCCCAGGGCGCUGCUCCUGCUGCCGCUGCUGCGGCUGCUGCUGACCGAGGCCCGCCCGCGACCCCCGCGCCCUGCCGAGCGGCCUUGCAGCUGCAGCCCCGGGCCGCGGCCGCGGCGGCGGCGGGGGC